rnacentral:rRNA from 1 species
GAUGAACGCUGGCGGCGUGCCUAAUACAUGCAAGUCGAGCGAACAGAUAAGGAGCUUGGUCCUUUGACGUUAGCGGCGGACGGGUGAGUAACACGUGGGUAACCUACCUAUAAGACUGGAAUAACUCCGGGAAACCGGGGCUAAUGCCGGAUAACAUUUAGAACCGCAUGGUUCUAAAGUGAAAGAUGGUUUUGCUAUCACUUAUAGAUGGACCCGCGCCGGAUUAGCUAGUUGGUAAGGUAACUGCUUACCAAGGCAACGAUACGUAGCCGCCCUGAGAGGGUGAUCGGCCACACUGGCACUGAGGCACGGUCCAGACUCCUACGGGAGGCAGCAGUAGGGAAUCUUCCGCAAUGGGCGAAAGCCUGACGGAGCACCGCCGCGUGAGUGAUGAAGGUCUUCGGAUCGUAAAACUCUGUUAUUAGGAAAGAACAAAUGUGUAAGUAACUGUGCACGUCUUGACGGUACCUAAUCAGAAAGCCACGGCUAACUACGUG